rnacentral:rRNA from 1 species
AUACGUAGGGGGCAAGACGUUGUCCGGAUUUACUGGGUGCAAAGGGCGCGCAGGCGGGAUAGCAAGUCAGAGGUGAAAUCCUACAGCUUAACUGUAGAACUGCCUUUGAUACUGUUAUUCUUGAGUUCGGGAGAGAGAGACGGAAUUCCAGGUGUAGUGGUGAAAUACGUAGAUAUCUGGAAGAACACCAGUUGCGAAGGCGGUCUCUUGGUCCGGUACUGACGCUGUGGCGCGAAAGCGUGGGGAGC